rnacentral:rRNA from 1 species
GACGAACGCUGGCGGCGUGCUUAACACAUGCAAGUCGAACGGUGAAGCGAGUGCUUGCACUCGUGGAUCAGUGGCGAACGGGUGAGUAACACGUGAGUAACCUGCCCAUCACUCUGGGAUAAGCACUGGAAACGGUGUCUAAUACUGGAUACGACCAACCCUUGCAUGGGGUGUUGGUGGAAAGAUUUAUCGGUGAUGGAUGGACUCGCGGCCUAUCAGCUUGUUGGCGGGGUAAUGGCCCACCAAGGCGACGACGGGUAGCCGGCCUGAGAGGGUGACCGGCCUCACUGGGACUGAGACACGGCCCAGACUCCUACGGGAGGCAGCAGUGGGGAAUAUUGCACAAUGGGCGAAAGCCUGAUGCAGCGACGCCGCGUGAGGGAUGACGGCCUUCGGGUUGUAAACCUCUUUCAGCAGGGAAGAAGCGAAAGUGACGGUACCUGCAGAAGAAGCACCGGCUAACUACGUG